rnacentral:rRNA from 1 species
GCUGGCGGCGUGCCUAACACAUGCAAGUCGUACGAGUAAAUUUUCACUUCGGUGGAGAGAGUAAAGUGGCGCACGGGUGAGUAACGCGUGAGUAACCUGCCCCUGAAUCUGGGAUAACUUCGCGAAAGCGUUGCUAAUACCGGAUACGGUCCAAUGAACUUGGGUUCGUUGGAUUAAAGGUGACCUAUCCAUGGAAGUUGCCGUUUGGGGAGGGGCUCGCGUCCCAUUAGCUUGUUGGUGGGGUAAUGGCCUACCAAGGCCGCGAUGGGUAGCUGGUCUGAGAGGAUGAUCAGCCACACUGGAACUGAAACACGGUCCAGACUCCUACGGGAGGCAGCAGUGAGGAAUUUUGCGCAAUGGGGGAAACCCUGACGCA